CGGCUCAGUAACACGUGGAUAACCUGCCCUUGGGUCCGGCAUAACCCCGGGAAACUGGGGAUAAUUCCGGAUAACGCACAUAUGCUGGAAUGCUUUAUGCGUCAAAUGGAUUCGUCCGCCCAAGGAUGGGUCUGCGGCCUAUCAGGUAGUAGUGGGUGUAAUGUACCUACUAGCCUACGACGGGUACGGGUUGUGAGAGCAAGAGCCCGGAGAUGGUUUCUGAGACAUGAAUCCAGGCCCUACGGGGCGCAGCAGGCGCGAAAACUUUACAAUGCGGGAAACCGUGAUAAGGGGACACCGAGUGCCAGCAUCAUAUGCUGGCUGUCCGGGUGUGUAAAAUACACCUGUUAGCAAGGGCCGGGCAAGACCGGUGCCAGCCGCCGCGGUAACACCGGCGGCCCGAGUGGUGAUCGUGAUUAUUGGGUCUAAAGGGUCCGUAGCCGGUUUGGUCAGUCCUCCGGGAAAUCUGACGGCUCAACCGUUAGGCUUUCGGGGGAUACUGCCAGACUUGGAACCGGGAGAGGUAAGAGGUACUACAGGGGUAGGAGUGAAAUCUUGUAAUCCCUGUGGGACCACCUGUGGCGAAGGCGUCUUACCAGAACGGGUUCGACGGUGAGGGACGAAAGCUGGGGGCACGAACCGGA
rnacentral:rRNA from 1 species